GGGCCCGCACAAGCGGUGGAGCAUGUGGCUUAAUUCGAGGCAACGCGAAGAACCUUACCUGGUCUUGACAUGCCCGUCAUAGUUUUCCGAAAGGAAUUCGUCGGUUCGGCCGGACGGUGCACAGGUGCUGCAUGGCUGUCGUCAGCUCGUGUCGUGAGAUGUUCGGUUAAGUCCGGCAACGAGCGCAACCCUCGUUCCUAGUUGCCAGCGGGUAAUGCCGGGGACUCUAGGAAGACAAACCUCGUGUAGAGGUGGGAAGGUGGGGACGACGUCAAGUCAGUAUGGCCCUUACGACCAGGGCUGCACACGUGCUACAAUGCCCGGUACAAUGGGAUGCAAUACCGCGAGGUUGAGCCAAUCCAUAAAACCGGGCCCAGUUCGGAUUGGAGUCUGCAACUCGACUCCAUGAAGUUGGAAUCGCUAGUAAUCGCAGGU
rnacentral:rRNA from 1 species